UCAGACGAUGCGUCAUGCAUAUCAAUAAGCGGAGGAAAAGAAACUAACAAGGAUUCCCCUAGUAACGGCGAGUGAAGCGGGAAGAGCUCAAAUUUGAAAUCUUAAAGGGUUUCCCUUUACGAAUUGUAGUUUAAAGAAGUGUUUUCUGUUGAGGUUUUGGUAAAAGUUCUUUGGAAUAGGACAUCAUAGAGGGUGAGAAUCCCGUAUUUGACCUUUACUUUCAACUUUGUGAUACACUUUCAAAGAGUCGGAUUGUUUGGGAAUGCAGUCCAAAAUGGGUGGUAAAUUUCAUCUAAAGCUAAAUAUUGGCGAGAGACCGAUAGCGAACAAGUACCGUGAGGGAAAGAUGAAAAGAACUUUGAAAAGAGAGUUAAACAGUACGUGAAAUUGUCAAAAGGGAAGCGUUUGACACCGGUGUUGUUUUUCUGAAAAUCAAUUAAAGAACUGUUUAUGCUAAGUUGUUUAGACUUUAUCAGCUAACUGUUUAGUUUUGAGCUUUUCUUUAAUGCACUUUUCAGUUAACAAGUCAACAUCAAUUUCUUUUGCUGUAAAAAAGCUUGAGGAAGGUGGCUUGAGAUUCGUCUUAAGUGUUUAUAGCCUCUUGCCUAUGCAGUCGGAGAGAUUGAGGUCUGCAGCGUAGAUCCUUCGGGGCUAAAUGCAUUUGUGCUAAGUUAUAGCAUUUUAUAGACAACUUGUUGGACUAUGAUUUGUCUUGUAGCUUACUCGCUUAUGUUAUUUUACCUACGCUUAGGAUGUUGAGCGCAUGUCUCUCUCU
rnacentral:rRNA from 1 species